ensembl:Mt_tRNA
GUCUUUGUAGUAUAUAAAAUACUUUGGUCUUGUAAACCAAAAAAGGAGAACAUAUGCCCUCCCUAAGACU